rnacentral:rRNA from 1 species
UGAGGAAUAUUGGUCAAUGGGCGUAAGCCUGAACCAGCCAUCCCGCGUGCAGGAAGAAGGCGCUAUGCGUCGUAAACUGCUUUUCCAGGGGAAGAAAACCCGCUACGUGUAGCGGCUUGCCGGUACCUUGGGAAUAAGCAUCGGCUAACUCCGUGCCAGCAGCCGCGGUAAUACGGAGGAUGCGAGCGUUAUCCGGAUUUAUUGGGUUUAAAGGGUGCGUAGGCGGAUUAAUAAGUCAGCGGUGAAAACCUUCAGCUUAACUGGAGAACUGCCAUUGAUACUGUUAGUCUUGAGUACGGUCAAGGUAGGCGGAAUGUGUAAUGUAGCGGUGAAAUGCUUAGAUAUUACACAGAACACCGAUUGCGAAGGCAGCUUUCUGGGCCAUUACUGACGCUGAGGCACGAAAGCGUGGGGAGCGAACA